rnacentral:rRNA from 1 species
GACGUAGGAUGCGAGCGUUGUCCGGAUUUAUUGGGCGUAAAGAGUUCGUAGGUGGUUUGUUAAGUUUGAUGUUAAAGAUCGGGGCUCAACCUCGGGACAGCAUUGAAUACUGGCAGACUUGAGUAUGGUAGAGGCUAGUGGAAUUCCCAGUGUAGCGGUGAAAUGCGUAGAUAUUGGGAAGAACACCGGUGGCGUAGGCGACUAGCUGGGCCAUAACUGACGCUGAGGAACGAAAGCCAGGGGAGCGAAA